CCCCUCUCAGGAUUAUACCUGGAGAGUUUCCACAAUUCUACCAGUCUCCACUAAGAGAGGGAGAGUCAAGAAGAGGCUUACCCAUUCCAUUCUUAGCUUGGGCAGUGGCUAGUGAGUGGAAGGCAAUCUGCUACAAGU
rfam:Ornithorhynchus anatinus chromosome 1, whole genome shotgun sequence.